rnacentral:rRNA from 1 species
UACGGGGGGGGGGCAAGCGUUUGUUCGGAAUUACUGGGCGUAAAGGGUCUGUAGGUGGCCCGACUAAGCCAGACGUGAAAUCCCUCAGCUUAACUGGGGACUGCGUCUGGGACUGAUCGGCUUGAGGACAGGAGAGGACGCGGAAUCCAGGUGUAGCGGUGAAAUGCGUAGAUAUCUGGAGGAACACCGGUGGCGAAGGCGGCGUUCUGGACUGUUUCUGACACUGAGAGACGGAAAGCCAGGGGAGCAAACGGG